rnacentral:rRNA from 1 species
GACGAACGCUGGCGGCGUGCUUAACACAUGCAAGUCGAACGGAAAGACCCUGCUUUUGUGGGGUGCUCGAGUGGCGAACGGGUGAGUAACACGUGAGUAACCUGCCCUUGACUUUGGGAUAACUUCAGGAAACUGGGGCUAAUACCGGAUAGGAGCUCCUGCUGCAUGGUGGGGGUUGGAAAGUUUCGGCGGUUGGGGAUGGACUCGCGGCUUAUCAGCUUGUUGGUGGGGUAGUGGCUUACCAAGGCUUUGACGGGUAGCCGGCCUGAGAGGGUGACCGGCCACAUUGGGACUGAGAUACGGCCCAGACUCCUACGGGAGGCAGCAGUGGGGAAUAUUGCACAAUGGGCGGAAGCCUGAUGCAGCAACGCCGCGUGCGGGAUGACGGCCUUCGGGUUGUAAACCGCUUUCGCCUGUGACGAAGCGUGGGUGACGGUAAUGGGCAAAGAAGCACCGGCUAACUACGUG